CACGAAGUUCAAUGAGCUAGCUAUUAUAUAAGAUUGGAUAAAGAGUAUGUAGCAUAAUAUUUGGUUAAUAGUAGUUAGGGGUGAAAGGCUUGUCAAAUUGAAUGAUAACUUGUUUCUUUUGAAAUAUAUUAAGUAUGAGAACAGGCUUAAGGUUAUAAGAUCUUAAGUAAGAAUAAAUGAAUAUUGAGAAUUAUAUGUAAAGUUUAGCGACAAACAUAUUUGAAUAUAUAAUAUUAACUUAUUAAUAAAUGUUGUUGUUAUUAAGAAGAAGUAGAAUAAUUUUGUAUACUAUUUGUUCUGUUAAUAUAAGUAUUGUGUAAGGUAAGAAUAAUGAACUCGGCAAAAUAACUUUCAACUGUUUAUCAAAAACAUAGCCUGUUGUUAAUAUAAUAGGUGAUUUCUGCUCAGUGAUAAUUUUAACAGCCGCAGUACCCUGACUGUGCAAAGGUAGCGCAAUCAAUUGACUUUUAAUUGAAGUCCUGUAUGAAGAAUGAAUGAGGGUUAACUAUAUCAUUUUUAUAUAUAGAAAUUGCUUAGUAAGUGUAAAAACUUAUAUUAAAAAUAAUAGACGAGAAGACCCUGGAAAUUUUAAGAAUUAUGUUACGUAAGCUUUUUGUUGGGGCAACAAAGUAAAAUAAUAACUUACAAUAAUGACAUGAAAUUAUAUGGAACGAGAAAAUUACUCUAGGGAUAACAGCAUAAUUUAUAAGAGUUUGUGACCUCGAUGUUGGACUAGGAAGUUAAUGUUAAAA
rnacentral:rRNA from 1 species